GACAGAGGGUGCAAACGUUGUUCGGAAUUACUGGGCGUAAAGCGUGUGUAGGCUGCUACAUAAGUCGGAUGUGAAAGCCCCGGGCUCAACCCGGGAAGUGCACUCGAUACUGCGUAGCUUGAGUCUCGGAGAGGUUGGUGGAAUUCUCGGUGUAGAGGUGAAAUGCGUAGAUAUCGGGAGGAACACCAGUGGCGAAGGCGACUACCUGGCCUGUUCUUGACGCUGAGGCGCGAAAGCUAGGGGAGCAAACGGG
rnacentral:rRNA from 1 species